rnacentral:rRNA from 1 species
UACGUAGGGGGCAAGCGUUGUCCGGAAUCAUUGGGCGUAAAGCGCGUGUAGGCGGUCCGGUAAGUCUGCUGUGAAAGUCCAGGGCUCAACCCUGGGAUGCCGGUGGAUACUGUCGGGCUAGAGUGCGGAAGAGGCGAGUGGAAUUCCCGGUGUAGCGGUGAAAUGCGCAGAUAUCGGGAGGAACACCAAUUGCGAAGGCAGCUCGCUGGGACGUAACUGACGCUGAGACGCGAAAGCGUGGGGAGCAAACAGG